AACGGUCCUCCUGCCUCAGCGUCCCCAGAGCUGGGAUUACAGGCGUGCGCCACCACGCCCAGCUUUUGACUUAAACGUCCAAAGAAGCUCAGUUCUUCAGUGGCACUUUCACCCCUUCGCAUCUGUGCCCCCUGCUCUGUCAAAGGCAGUGCGGAUGUCACCAGGCCGGGCCCGGGCAGGCUCCUGAGUGGCCGGAGGGACGCUGACCCGGCCCACGCUGAACAAGCUGCCGCCUCGCUGCCAGCCGUCGCGGGGAGGGCAUGUUCCGGACGGCCAGUGAGAGGAGCAGGGAGGGCGUUAGGCGGAGGUAGGGAAGUGCCCGCUCCAAGAAACGGCGGGUGGGCCCUUGUCUGCGGAACUGGGGUCCUGCCUGCUGCCCUUGAGAGGGUGGGGUCCCGAAGUGUGGCCCAUCCCGGGAUGGGGGUCCCGGAAAUGCGGCCCGUUCUACAGGGGUGCACCCCGGCUUUUGUUUGUUUUAAGACAGUAAUCUAAACAUCCCUCGGCGUCUCUCAGCCCGCUCCUUUGCCUGGGACCACGCCCCGCCCGUCAUUUCCCCGGUGACGCGCAGCGGCAGACUCCGAGCGCUCCUGAGGGGGGCUGGCGGGGCGCGGCCGAAGGGCCACACAGCAGCGAUGGAGCAGCCGCCCCUCCGCCCCCAGUGAAGACCCACACGCACACCCAGACCCGCCAGAGGGAACCGGGCUCCCAGGAAGAGGCCUGCAGGUGCGGCGACACCACCUGGCCGGGGACCGCGGCCUCGCCUGCCACGGGGGUGGAAAUCAGGGCCUCUGCCGCCCGCCACCCAGGAGCACGGGCGAUCGCUCCGACGCGCUGCCCUGCACGCGCAGAACCGGCGGAGCGAACGGCGCAUGGCCCUUCCCGAAGGACUUCCCGCUGAGAAUCGGGCCUGUGGCUUCAGCGCACAAACUCGCUGCCAUCCCAGGAAGACGGACGCGCUUCCAACGGAAGGGGUCUGCGCAGGCUGGGGCCCCGCUUCGAGCCGAUCCGACCGCAGGUCCCCGUGCUGCGGGGCCUUUCCCGAGGACCGCGGUGCGGCUUGCAGAGGGCCUGGGCCUCGUGGUCCUGACGCCCCGUCACACAGCCAUGAACGAGGACGUUCCUGUCUGUCCAGCCUCACUCUGAGGCGCACGCCGAUGCGGCCGUGACGGCAUCGUCCCACCCAGCCCCUCUGUGAGGAGGUCAGCCACAUUUCAAAGGGACACUUAAAGAAAGGGACAGACCAAGAGGCACCACCAGCGUCCCGUGGUGACUUGAACCCCGGUCCAACUCGCUGGGGCGGAACAGCAGACAGCUCACGUCCCAGCUGACAGACAGGCAGAUGAGUGCACCCUCUCAGAAGCGGGGCCGCUCUGUCACUCA